UACCAAGGCAACCCACAUUUUUGCUAGCUUUUGGAUUCUUUGCAAAAAGAUUGCAAAGCAACUUUCAAGGUCAGGGAAAUGGGGAGAGAGCACACAGGACCAGGUAAAGUGGCGGCUUAUUCUCCUGGAUUAUCAUAAAAGGGUGGUCUGCAAUAUUUUUACUGUGGCAGGACUCAGAAACUGAGAUCCCAGCGUGGCAUGGGCUAAGAGGAAAAAGAACAGCUGCGCACACCAAUAAAUUCAAAAUAGGCAUGGUAGCUAUGCUGAAAGGGACAAGGUUCUGCAACCAUGCUGUCUGGCUCAGCAUUCCCCUCAGAUCAGAAAACUGAAAUCCUGCUGGGGACAGAGACCAUUUCUUUAAUGAUGCAGUUCUGGCUAAGAAGGAGACAGAACAAUGUCUUCAGGGAGAUGUGAUGGCUUCCUGAUUUGUUGUUUUAAUUGGGUGAAAGAAAAAAAAUGGAAUUAUUAAUCUGGAAUUCAGCAUGCUUGAAACAGAGCAUUUCUGGGCUGGGAUGUUCUUGAGAGAGUACUUCUGGAUACCUAGAAGGUUUUCAUGGCAUUCAUCUGGAAUUUGCCUUUCCUCCUUUAAUCAUAUCCUCUUAGGGUGAUUUUCACAGAACUGCAUAAGGAAUUCCUAUAGCAGAG